rnacentral:ribozyme from 1 species
CAGAAAUGCCGUCACUGGUACGGGUGCGGAUUUCAACGGCUCGUGAAGGCUACCCAAGUGCUCUAUACUCUAGUCUUACUCUUCACUCACGUUCUUGGCGUUCAGAACGGUAACAUGUCACUCCACAGAUUUGAGCUUGGGUAUACAGGGGAUCCCAUCCCCUUGGGAAGAUGGAAAGCAUGGCUAAUUUGACAUGG